UUAUUUGAGAGUUUGAUCCUGGCUCAGGAUGAACGCUGGCGGCGUGCCUUAGGCAUGCAAGUCGAACGGCCCCGAUUUAAUCGGGGCAGUGGCGGAAGGGUGAGUAACGCGUGGGAACGUACCAUUUGGUGGAGUAUAGCCUUCCGAAAGGAGGGGUAAUUCUCCGUAACCUCAGGGCGAAACCCUGAGAAUUUCCAAUUUCCAAUUUCCAAUUUCCAAAUAAUAUUUAAAUUAAAAUUCUUUAAUUUUAAAAAUUUUGAAAUUUUGAAUUUUGAUCAUUUGAAUUUGUUUGUGACUUGGAGUUUGAUAAUUUCGAAUUUCUCAGAGCUUUGCUCUGAGAAUAGAGUUUAACCACUCGCCGAAUGAGCGGCCUGCGUCCUAUCAGCUUGUUGGUGGGGUAAUGGCCUACCAAGGCGAUGACGGGUAGCUGGGCUGAGAGGUCGGCCAGCCACAAGGGAACUGAGACACGGUCCCUACACCUACGGGUGGCAGCAACCGGGAAUCUUGGACAAUGGGCGAAAGCCUGAUCCAGCGACGCCGCGUGGGGGAAGAAGGCCUUCGGGUUGUAAACUCCUUUUGCCCCGCAUAAUGCGGGGAGAAUAAGCACCUGCCAACUACGUGCCAGCAGCCGCGGUGAGACGUAGGGUGCAAGCGUUAUCCGGAUUUACUGGGCGUAAAGGGUUGCGUAGGCGGUUUGUUAAGUCAAAAUUGAAAUAUUUCCGCUUAACGGAAAGAACGGUUUUGAUACUAAUAAACUUUGAGACUCGGAGAGGUAGCUGGAACUUGCAGUGGAGCGGUGAAAUGCGUUGAUAUUGCAAGGAACACCAAAGGCGUAAGCAGGCUACUGGUCGAGAACUGACGCUGAUGCACGAAAGCUAGGGGAGCGAAGCGGAUUAGAGACCCGCGUAGUCCUAGCCGUAAACGAUGGACACUAGAUGAGUGUCCCGCCCUUUCUGGGAUGUGAAUUGAAUUUUGUUUUCUGAAUCAAAUUUUGAUUUAGUUUACAAUUUGAUAUUGUGAUCGCAGAAAGGGCGGGAUGCUUGUCGUAAGCUAACGCGUUAAGUGUCCCGCCUGGGAAGUACGGCCGCAAGGCUAAAACUCAAAGGAAUUGACGGGGACCUGCACAAGCGGUGGAGCAUGUGGUUCAAUUCGAAACAAAGCGAAAAACCUUACCAGGGCUUGACAUCCAGCUUUUUCCUGUCCCGGAAACGGGAAAAGGGUCUGUCGUAAGAUAGAAAAGGCUGGACAGGUGCUGCAUGGCUAUUUUGAGCAAAGCGAGAAACAUGCUUUGCAUAUUUUUAACGAUGGCCUUUCCUUGAGUAAUCGAGGUCAAAACCCAACUGUAUCGGUGAAACCCAAACGUGAAGUCGUGGGCAAUACCGAGGGAAGUCGUCCCGAUUUAAUCGGGAUUGACCCCGUAGAGACUACACGUUGGCCCCGCCAAAAUUUAAAUAUUUAGGCGGGUGAAGAUAUAGUCCGUACCAUUGGAAACAAUGGAGCAAUAUGGUCGUCAGCUUGUACCGUGAGGCGCACCCUUAAGUGGGUUAACAAGCGCAACCCCCAUCCUGUGUUAAAUUUCACAGGAAACUGCCCGCUAAAAGCGUGGAGGAAGGUGGGGAUGACGUCAAGUCAGCACGGCCCUUAUGUCCUGGGCUACACACAUCCUACAAUGGAUGACAAACAACGGGUCAGCAACCCGGCAACGGGAAGCUAAUCCCUUAAAAGCAUCCUCAGUUCGGAUUGAGGGCUGAAACCUGCCCUCAUGAAGUUGAAAUCGCUAGUAAUCGCGGAUCAGCAGGCCGCGGUGAAUACGUUCUCAGGUCUUGUACACACCGCCCGUCAAGCCAACAAAGUCGGAGGUGCCUGAAGUAUCCCUUUUGGGGUCCCAAGGCAAAAUCGGCGAUGGGGACUAAGUCGUAACAAGGUAUCCGUUCUGGAAGGAGCGGAUGGAUCACCUCCUUU
rfam:Candidatus Curtissbacteria bacterium RIFCSPLOWO2_01_FTLL_42_50 rifcsplowo2_01_scaffold_3797, whole genome shotgun sequence.